AAUAUUGGACAAUGGGGGCAACCCUGACCCAGCCAUGCCGCGUGUGUGAAGAAGUUCUUCGGAUUGUAACGCACCUGAAGUUGGGCGGAAUGGUAUUAGGCUAAUACCUUGAAUGUUCGCCGUUACCAACACUAUAAGCACCGGCUAACUUUGUGCCAGCAGCCGCGGUAAUACAGAGGGUGCAAGCGUUAAUCGGAAUUACUGGGCGUAAAGCGCGCGUAGGUGGUUCAGUAAGAUGGGUGUGAAAUCCCCGGGCUUAACCUGGGAACUGCUUUCAUAACUGCUGAGCUAGAGUACGGUAGAGGGUAGUGGAAUUUCCUGUGUAGCGGUGAAAUGCGUAGAUAUAGGAAGGAACACCAGUGGCGAAGGCGACUACCUGGGCUGAUACUGACACUGAGGUGCGAAAGCGUGGGGAGCAAACA
rnacentral:rRNA from 1 species